AACAAUUAAUAAAUUAAAUAAAAUUAUUUUAUAAAUAAUUUUUUUGUUUAAUUAAAAUGAAAUAAAUAAAUAUUAAGUGAAAUUUUAUUUAUUUAAUAAUUUUAAUUAAAUUUAAUUUUUAUUUUAUUAAAUUUAAAUUUUAAAAUAGGAUUAGAUACCCUAUUAUUUAUAAAUAAAUAUAAAAAUUAAAUUAUUAAACGAUUAAGUUGAAAUUUAAAGAAUAUGGCAGUAUUAUAAUCAAUUUAGAGGAACCUGUUUAUUAAAUGAUAAUCCACGAUUAAUUCAACUUAAUUUAAUUUAUUUUAUAUAUCGUCGUUAAAAGUUUUUUUUAAGAAAAAAUAAAAUUUUAUAUUUUAAAUUAAAAUUAAAUCAGAUCAAGAUGUAAAUAAUAGUUAAGAUAAAAUGGGUUAUAAUAAAUUAAUUUUUGGAUAAAUAAUUGAAAUAUUAUUUUAAAUUUAGAUUUAAAUGUAAUUUAUUUAAUUUAAAUUAAAUGAUUUUAAGUUUUAUGAUA
rnacentral:rRNA from 1 species